GCAAGUCGAACGGAUGUCUUCGGACAUUAGUGGCGGACGGGUGAGUAACGCGUGAGAAUCUAGCUUCAGGUUGGGGACAACAGUUGGAAACGACUGCUAAUACCGAAUGUGUUGAAAGGUGAAAGAUUUAUUGCCUGAAGAAGAGCUCGCGUCUGAUUAGCUAGUUGGUGGGGUAAGAGCUUACCAAGGCGACGAUCGGUAGCUGGUCUGAGAGGACGAUC
rnacentral:rRNA from 1 species